UACGUAGGGUGCGAGCGUUAAUCGGAAUUACUGGGCGUAAAGCGUGCGCAGGCGGUUUUGUAAGCCAGAUGUGAAAUCCCCGGGCUUAACCUGGGAAUGGCAUUUGGGACUGCAAGGCUUGAGUUUGGCAGAGGAGACUGGAAUUCCUGGUGUAGCAGUGAAAUGCGUAGAGAUCCGGAGGAACACCAAAGGCGAAGGCAGUGUCCUGGGGAGUACCUGACGCUCAGGUGCGAAAGCCAGGGGAGCGAACGGG
rnacentral:rRNA from 1 species